rnacentral:rRNA from 1 species
AGAGUUUGAUUAUGGCUCACGCUUUAAGAUGGCGGCGUGCCUAANACAUGCAAGUCGAACGCCCUUUUAAAGUCGAUGCGAUUUCGGUCAAGUCAAAGGAUGUUUUAGUGGCGGACGGGUGAGUAACGCGUGGGCUUCUUGAAAAACACCGGGGGAUAACACUUAGAAAUAGGUGCUAAUACCGCAUAACAGGAGAACAUGCAUGUGUUUUCCUUGAAAACCACGGUGGUGUAAGAUGGACCCGCGUCUGAUUAGCUUGUUGGCAGGGUAACGGCCUACCAAGGCGACGAUCAGUAGCCGGCCUGAGAGGGUGGACGGCCACAUUGGGACUGAGACACGGCCCAGACUCCUACGGGAGGCAGCAUUGUUGAAUAUUGCACAAUGGGGGAAACCCUGAUGCAUCGACGCCGCGUGAGUGAAGAAGUAUUUCGGUAUGUAAAGCUCUGUCAGCAGGGAAGAAAAUGACGGUACCUGACCAAGAAGCCCCGGCUAACUACGUGCCAGCAGCCGCGGUAAUACGUAGGGGGCAAGCGUUAUCCGGAUUUACUGGGUGUAAAGGGAGUGCAGACGGCAGUGCAAGUCCGGAGUGAAAGCCCGGGGCCCAACCCCGGGACUGCUCUGGAUACUGUACGGCUGGAGUGCCGGAGAGGUAAGCGGAAUUCCUAGUGUAUCGGUGAAAUGCGUAGAUAUUAAGAGGAACACCAGUGGCCGAAGGCGGUUUUAUGGACGGUAACUGAUGUUUGAUGUUUGAAAGCGUGGGGAACAAAUAGGAUUAAAUACCCCUGGUAGUCCAC